ACGUUGGAACUGAAAGUGUUUUGAUUGUCUGUAUCUAUAAUGGUGGGGAAGUAUUUACUUGUCUGAACUGAUAACGUUGGGAAAGUGUUUGCUUGUCUGUAUCUAUAAUGGUGGGGAAGUAUUUACUUGUCUGAACUGAUAACGAUGGGAAAGUGUUUGCUUGUCUGUAUCUAUAAUGGUAAGGAAGUCAUUCUCAGAUUUUUCUGUUUUUGAUCUUUUUUCAUGUUGCUUGGGUCCCAGUGUCUUUCAUGUCACCAACUGAUGGAUGUAGUUAGGGAUACAUCACAUCUCAGGCCCUAGGUCAGGUGUGUGACCAACUAGAGUUAGGGGUAUGACCUAUUGAAGUUGUCACUACACAGGUCCUAGGGUCAGGUGUGUGACCAACUAGAGUUAGGGUAUGACCUACUUGAGUUGUCACUACACAGGUCCUAGUGUCAGAUGCAUGACCAACUAGAGUUAGGGUAUGACCUACUUGAGUUGUCACUACACGGGUCCUAGGUCAGGUGUGUGACCAACUAGAGUUAGGGGUAUGACCUACUUGAGUUGUCACUACACAGGUCCUAGGGUCAGGUGUGUGACCAACUAGAGUUAGGGUAUGGCCUACUUGAGUUGUCACUACACGGGUCCUAGGGUCAGGUGUAUUACCAACUGGAGUUAGGGUAUGGCCUACUUGAGUUGUCACUACACAGGUCCUAGGGUCAGGUGUGUGACCAACUAGAGUUAGGGUAUGACCUACUUGAGUUGUCACUACACAGGUCCUAGGUCAGGUGUAUGACCUUUAGGGGUAGUCACAUUUCAGUUCCUAGGUCAGGAGUAUGAUCUUUAGGGGUAGUCACAUUUUAGAUCCUAGGUCAAGUGUAUGACCUUUAGGGGCAGUCACAUUUCAGGUCUUAGUGUCUGGUUUAUGACCUACAGAAGUAGUACUGACUGACUGAAGGGGAUGUUGUACUGAGAUAUGUAGUUUCUGUUGGUACUAUGGACAAUGAGCACAGUUUACAGAAAUGUAUCAAACAUUCGUUAUUUGUUUCAUUUAAAUGAUGUCAUAUGUUUCUGGUGAAACCUCAUCCUUGUAUCUGUGAUGUAUCCGUGUAUAUUAAGGUUCUUAUUUUCUUUAUCUUGUGGGUAAACAUUUAUUGUAUGCCAGUGACACCUCCUACUGAGCAAGUGAAUGCCCUAAUGCAGUGUUUCUGUGUGGGAGUCUGGCCUCUGAAUGAACUGUGUAUUGGAGCUGUGUUCUGUACAGUGUACAGCACUGGAGCAUCAGGUUUCAGUCACAUCCUUUCACUGAUGCCUUUCAGGUCACCUCUGUCUGUCUCAAAAGUUCUCAGAAAAAUAAACUUUACAGAUUUUGUAUCUUACUUCAGUACAGUCCCUUCAGCUGAUCCUGCUAUGUGGCGGUACUGUUUGUUUGACAACUGGUAGACAGAUUUCAGACUGAUCUGAGCAGGAUUAAUUGUUUGUUGUUUCAAAAUGCUUCUAGUCUCAUCUUGUAUUAUAUUUAAAGUGCAUUAUUCAGAAAGGAGGUGUGUCUUGGAUGACUGAAGGUUAAUGCUGUUUAUAAUGGAUGAUUGUAAUGAAUUUGAGAAAUGUACAUUAGUGUUCUAUGGUCUUUUUAUAAGUAUUUGCAGGUUGUACAGUAGAGGAGUGCAUUUGUAUUGAAAGAAUCCUUUAUGCAGAAUUUAUGCACCAAAGUUUAUGUACAGGUUCUUGAUUAAAAUGGAGUAGGUCUGUGUUCCUGAGACAAAUCAUGCAAUGUUGCCUCAUCCUGAGGAUGUACCCUGAAGGUUGUCUCCACACCAGAAUGACCCCUUAUGUUCUAUCAUUCUAGGCUGUAUCUAUGGCUGUGUCUCCACACCAGAAUGACCCCUUAUGUUCUAUCAUU